AUUGAACGCUGGCGGCAUGCCUUACACAUGCAAGUCGAACGGCAGCACGGGUGCUUGCACCUGGUGGCGAGUGGCGAACGGGUGAGUAAUACAUCGGAACGUACCUUAUCGUGGGGGAUAACGCAGCGAAAGCUGUGCUAAUACCGCAUACGCCCUGAGGGGGAAAGCGGGGGAUCGAAAGACCUCGCGCGAUUAGAGCGGCCGAUGCCUGAUUAGCUUGUUGGUGGGGUAAAAGCCCACCAAGGCGACGAUCAGUAGCUGGUCUGAGAGGACGAUCAGCCACACUGGGACUGAGACACGGCCCAGACUCCUACGGGAGGCAGCAGUGGGGAAUUUUGGACAAUGGGGGCAACCCUGAUCCAGCAAUGCCGCGUGAGUGAAGAAGGCCUUUGGGUUGUAAAGCUCUUUUGUCAGGGAAGAAACACCGGCUCUAACACAGUCCGGGAAUGACGGUACCUGAAGAAUAAGCACCGGCUAACUGCGUGCCAGCCGCCGCAGUAA
rnacentral:rRNA from 1 species